rnacentral:rRNA from 1 species
GGGGGGGGGGGGGGGGGGGGGGGGGGGGGGGGAGGGGGGGGGGGAGGGGGGGGGGGGCUGGGGGACGGGAGUGGCGAACGGGGGAGGGGGAGGGGGGUGAUGUGCCGUGCACUUCGGGAUAGGCCUGGGAAACUGGGUCUAAUACCGGAGAGGACGAUGGUUUGGAUGCCAUUGGGGAAAGGUUUUUCGGUGGGGGAUGAGCUCGCGGCCUAUCAGCUUGUUGGUGGGGUAAUGGCCUACCAAGGCGUCGACGGGUAGCCGGCCUGAGAGGGUGUACGGCCACAUUGGGACUGAGAUACGGCCCAGACUCCUACGGGAGGCAGCAGUGGGGAAUAUUGCACAAUGGGCGCAAGCCUGAUGCAGCGACGCCGCGUGGGGGAUGACGGCCUUCGGGUUGUAAACUCCUUUCUCUAGGGACGAAGCGUUUUGUGACGGUACCUGGAGAAGAAGCACCGGCUAACUACGUG